rnacentral:tRNA from 1 species
CGGGGUGUAGCUCAGCUUGGUAGAGCGCGUCGUUCGGGACGACGAGGCCCACAGUUCAAAUCUGUGCACCCCGACCA